rnacentral:rRNA from 1 species
AGUGAACGCUGGCGGCGUGCCUAAUACAUGCAAGUCGAACGGCGUGGCGCACGGGUGAGUAAUGUAUAUCUAAUCUGCCUUACACUAGAGGACAACAGUUGGAAACGGCUGCUAAUACUCUAUAGUGUAGGGUGAGGCUAUACUGUAUCAGCUAGUUGGUGAGGUAAUGGCUCACCAAGGCUAUGACGCAUAACUGGUCUGAGAGGAUGAUCAGUAGCACUGGAACUGAGACACGGUCCAGGCUCAUACGGGAGGCAGCAGUAGGGAGUAGUGCUCAAGGGGGGAGACCCUGGAGCAGCAACGCGGCGUGGAGGAUUACACUUGUCGAGGAGUAAGCUCCGUUUGUUAGGGAAGCGGUACCUAACGAAUAAGCACCGGCUAACUCCGUGCCAGCAGCCGCGGUAAUUC